UGGCGGACGGGUGAGUAAUGCUUAGGAAUCUGCCUAUUAGUGGGGGACAACAUUCCGAAAGGGAUGCUAAUACCGCAUACGUCCUACGGGAGAAAGCAGGGGAUCUUCGGACCUUGCGCUAAUAGAUGAGCCUAAGUCGGAUUAGCUAGUUGGUGGGGUAAAGGCCUACCAAGGCGACGACCUGUAGCGGGUCUGAGAGGAUGAUCCGCCACACUGGGACUGAGACACGGCCCAGACUCCUACGGGAGGCAGCAGUGGGGAAUAUUGGACAAUGGGGGGAACCCUGAUCCAGCCAUGCCGCGUGUGUGAAGAAGGCCUUAUGGUUGUAAAGCACUUUAAGCGAGGAGGAGGCUACUGAGACUAAUACUCUUGGAUAGUGGACGUUACUCGCAGAAUAAGCACCGGCUAACUCUGUGCCAGCAGCCGCGGUAAU
rnacentral:rRNA from 1 species